rnacentral:tmRNA from 1 species
GGGGCUGAUUCUGGAUUCGACGGGAUUUGCGAAACCCAAGGUGCAUGCCGAGGGGCGGUUGGCCUCGUAAAAAGCCGCAAAAAAUAGUCGCAAACGACGAAAACUACGCUUUAGCAGCUUAAUAACCUGCUUAGAGCCCUCUCUCCCUAGCCUCCGCUCUUAGGACGGGGAUCAAGAGAGGUCAAACCCAAAAGAGAUCGCGUGGA